GUACUCGCCGUCGACACCCUGGGACGCCUCCUACGACGUGCACACAGCCUGGGCAUCCUGCAGCCUCUACACCCACGGCGUCACAUCCCGGCGAUCUCCCUCUAUGCCGAUGAUGUCAUGGUCUUCUGUCAUGCCACGGCAGAGGACACCACUGCGAUCAGGGAAAUCCUCGCCUUGUUCGGCAGGGCUUCCGGCCUGAAGGUGAACUUCACCAAAAGCUCCGCCACCAUCCUGCACGGCGACCAAGUGGCCACGGAGAUGAUCGCGCACCUCGGCUGCCCGGUGGCGAACCUCCCGAUCACCUACCUCGGCAUACCCAUGUCCACACGCCGCCCAUCUGCCGCCCAGCUGCAGCCCAUGGUGGAUGCGGUCGGCGCGUGCCUGCCGACUUGGAAGGCCUGGCUGAUGACCAAAACCGGGCGCCUCGCGUUGGUCAAGUCGGUCUUGUGUGCCAUCCCAGUGCACCAACUGCUCGCAUUCGCGCCCCCCAAAAAAACCCUCAAGUAG
rnacentral:rRNA from 1 species